rnacentral:rRNA from 1 species
GCGUGUGUGAAGAAGGCCUGCGGGUUGUAAAGCACUUUCAGUAGGGAAGAAAAGCCUGGUGCUAAUACCACCGGGUCUUGACGUUACCUACAGAAGAAGCACCGGCUAACUCCGUGCCAGCAGCCGCGGUAAUACGGAGGGUGCAAGCGUUAAUCGGAAUUACUGGGCGUAAAGCGCGCGUAGGCGGCUUGUUAAGUCAGAUGUGAAAGCCCCGGGCUCAACUUGGGAAUUGCAUUUGAUACUGGCAGGCUAGAGUGUGGUAGAGGGAAGUGGAAUUCCGGGUGUAGCGGUGAAAUGCGU